rnacentral:rRNA from 1 species
GACGAACGCUGGCGGCGUGCCUAACACAUGCAAGUCGAACGGAAUUAAGUUUAACACCGAACACUUAGUUUGGUGGAAAAACACUGAGUAGUCGGUGUUGAACUUAAUUUAGUGGCGGACGGGUGAGUAACGCGUGAGUAACCUGCCUUACAGAGGGGGAUAACGUUCGGAAACGAACGCUAAUACCGCAUAACAUAUUUGAGCCGCAUGGUUUAGAUAUCAAAGGAGCAAUCCGCUGAAAGAUGGACUCGCGUCCGAUUAGCUAGUUGGUGAGAUAAAAGCCCACCAAGGCGACGAUCGGUAGCCGGACUGAGAGGUUGAACGGCCACAUUGGGACUGAGACACGGCCCAGACUCCUACGGGAGGCAGCAGUGGGGGAUAUUGCACAAUGGAGGAAACUCUGAUGCAGCAACGCCGCGUGAGGGAAGACGGUUUUCGGAUUGUAAACCUCUGUCCUUGGUGAAGAUAAUGACGGUAGCCAAGGAGGAAGCUCCGGCUAACUACGUG